GUGCUCACUUCGGCAGCACAUAUACAAAAAUUAGAACAAUACAGAGAAGAUUAGCAUGGCCCCUGCACAAGGAUAACAUGCAAAUUCGUGAAGCGUUCCAUAUUUUU
rnacentral:snRNA from 1 species